rnacentral:lncRNA from 1 species
CACCACAAGGACUGGAGAAGGGGUCUUCCUCUGCCACCCGGGCUGGAGUGUGCAGCAGCAUGACCAUGGCUCACUGCAGCUUCAACCUCUCAGGAUUAGGACUUUACUGAAGACUCUAAGGAGGACCUGUAUCUGUUGGGAUCCUUAGGGCAAGCCACAGAAACAAGCUUUGGAUACUUGAAGCAGAAAAUGGAGUUAUUGAAGACUAUUGUGGAGUUUACUGUGAGACAGAGAGCCAGGCUGGGGAGCUGUACCACUUAGAAUGAGAUCCAAACUCACACCAUAGUUCCAUCCUUGAGGUCACCAUGUUGCUGCCACCCCUCCUGCCACACCGCCACUGAAGCUUUGGAUGCUGGAUUCUGGGCACAGCUGGGAGAAGUGUUGCUUAUUACCAUUUUAAUAUGUUUUCUUUCAAGACCUUUUCAAAAUAUACAUACGUAUUUUUAUUUCUAUUCAAAAUGGGAUACAUUUUUGAAGGUUAGCAAUAUAUUGUGAACAUUUUCUUUCCAUGCUCAGAAACAUUUUUCUAUAGUAUAAUUUAUAGUGAUAUAUAGUAAACUAUCGCAUAGACCUACCAUGGUUUACCUAACAAAUCCCAAAUCAUUUGUGCCAUUUCUAAAUUUUUAUUAUCUUAUGCAAUGCUUUAAUGAACAUCCUUGCAUUUAU